AGAGUUUGAUCCUGGCUCAGGACGAACGCUGGCGGCGCGCCUAACACAUGCAAGUCGAACGAGCGAGAGAGAGCUUGCUUUCUCGAGCGAGUGGCGAACGGGUGAGUAACGCGUGAGGAACCUGCCUCAAAGAGGGGGACAACAGUUGGAAACGACUGCUAAUACCGCAUAAGCCCACAGGUCGGCAUCGACCAGAGGGAAAAGGAGCAAUCCGCUUUGAGAUGGCCUCGCGUCCGAUUAGCUAGUUGGUGAGGUAACGGCCCACCAAGGCAACGAUCGGUAGCCGGACUGAGAGGUUGAACGGCCACAUUGGGACUGAGACACGGCCCAGACUCCUACGGGAGGCAGCAGUGGGGAAUAUUGCACAAUGGGGGAAACCCUGAUGCAGCGACGCCGCGUGGAGGAAGAAGGUCUUCGGAUUGUAAACUCCUGUUGUUGAGGAAGAUAAUGACGGUACUCAACAAGGAAGUGACGGCUAACUACGUGCCAGCAGCCGCGGUAAAACGUAGGUCACAAGCGUUGUCCGGAAUUACUGGGUGUAAAGGGAGCGCAGGCGGGAAGACAAGUUGGAAGUGAAAUCUAUGGGCUCAACCCAUAAACUGCUUUCAAAACUGUUUUUCUUGAGUAGUGCAGAGGUAGGCGGAAUUCCCGGUGUAGCGGUGGAAUGCGUAGAUAUCGGGAGGAACACCAGUGGCGAAGGCGGCCUACUGGGCACCAACUGACGCUGAGGCUCGAAAGUGUGGGUAGCAAACAGGAUUAGAUACCCUGGUAGUCCACACCGUAAACGAUGAUUACUUAGGUGUUGGAGGGAUUGAUCCCUUUCAGUGCCGCAGUUAACACAAUAAGUAAUCCACCUGGGGAGUACGACCGCAAAGGUUGAAACUCAAAGGGAAUUGACGGGGGCCCGCACAAGCAGUGGAGUAUGUGGUUUAAUUCGACGCAACGCGAAGAACCUUACCAAGUCUUGACAUCCCUUGACGAACAUAGAAAUAUGUUUUCUCUUCGGAGCAAGGAGACAGGUGGUGCAUGGUUGUCGUCAGCUCGUGUCGUGAGAUGUUGGGUUAAGUCCCGCAACGAGCGCAACCCUUACUGUCAGUUACUACGCAAGAGGACUCUGGCAGGACUGCCGUUGACAAAACGGAGGAAGGUGGGGAUGACGUCAAAUCAUCAUGCCCUUUAUGACUUGGGCUACACACGUACUACAAUGGCGUUAAACAAAGGGAAGCAAGACCGCGAGGUGGAGCAAAACUCAGAAACAACGUCCCAGUUCGGACUGCAGGCUGCAACUCGCCUGCACGAAGUCGGAAUUGCUAGUAAUCGUGGAUCAGCAUGCCACGGUGAAUACGUUCCCGGGCCUUGCACACACCGCCCGUCA
rnacentral:rRNA from 1 species